UCAAAUGGUAGGUCAAUUUGUGCUGGCAUGGCUGCUGCACUUUGUAAGUUUUGCAUCCCAACAUUUCUUUCACUUGAAUUAAAUGAUAAAUUAUAAUUUAAGCAAACCAAAUCCCCACACCCCCCAUAAAAAAGAACUUUUUUCCAAUUUACUCACCUAUGUUUUCACUAGCAAAGUGGCCUACUAUCAAGUUCGGCCUCAAUCCAAUUACUGGGAUUCAAUCUUUGGGCUUCGGGUUUAAGCCAUUCGGGAACCUUUUUUUUCUUGAAAAAUCUGAGUUCGGAUUCGUGAUUAGGAGGCCGUGAAUUCCUUUCGGGUGAAAAUUGGGGUUCAUCGGCCACCGGCAAACGGACCUUUGUAUCACUUGAUUAAGUGAUCAGUUUCCAGGGCAUACAUCCUGUCAUCUCCAACUUGUUCUAAACCAAUAGUUAACACCAAUAUUUAAUAACCGGACUGAUAGUCAACCUUGUCAGAUCACUAAUUUCUAAUUCAAUUGUCAGUAUGAAAAUAUAUUAAGAAUUUAUAAAAUUAGUUCAACUAAUUUAAUUGCUGAUUUUGUUCCAAUUUUCUGUUUUUCAUUGGUUUCAAGCGGUUCAGUCAAAGACUGGUUAAACCCGUAUGUCUAGACUGAUAUACCAGUAACCGGUUAGUUCUCGGUCCGGUUCAGAAAACAUCGGUUAACACAUCUUAUAUCGAACUCUUGUUUAGAAAUUGUAUCUCGAAACGAACAUUUUAGCUCUCUGGAAAAACAGAUAAGCAUAGACUAGCAAAGAGACAAAUACUGGGAAGAUUGGAAACUUGGUGAAGAAUUUUUAACAAGCUAAUACCUAAAGAAUUUUUAACAAGCUAAUACCUAAUGUAAGGCCCAAAUUUUGCCCGGGGCCAAUAAAACUAAAUUUAACUUAAACCAACUUUAGCCCAACCCAAACUAAAACAAAAAAUCCUAGGGGUGCCGCCCUACUGUCUGCCACCAUAACCUACUGCAUAGUUGGCCACCCACCCCAUUUUGCUCUACUUGCCUGUAAUGGAAAAGACAAAUAAAUUAAAAAAAGAACAAGUUGUAAAAGGUUAGAAAAACCUACAAUCUCAAUGUAAUGGAGGGGAUUUUGGAUUCUAUCUCAUUUUCGGCUAAAAAUAGAAGCCGAAAGCAAUCGUAAAAGGGGGAUCCCCAUUCUUGUACGCAAGGAUUUUUCAGAAAUAAAAAGGAGAAAAAAAAAUAAAAAAGGGUUAAUUUCCAAUCGUAUUCUCUUGGUUUUCAUUUUGUUUUUUAAUUUCUUUUUUAUUUCUUUUUUAUUUUUGUUUACAAAUCUAUUAAAUGAAAGUGGGCAUAAAAAAUAAAAAUAAAAAAGAGGAGAAGAGAGUCUUACCGAAUCCACUCCGUGGCUGCGUCGUCGGAGUCCUCCUCUCCGUUCGGCACGGUGAACGACGGCGAUGAUGGGUUUCCGAAAUCCUAACUAAAAAGGGGGAGGGGGAGAGAACUGAGAAGCUCUGUAUUCUUUUUGUUUAAAAUUGGGGCUGG
rnacentral:lncRNA from 1 species